rnacentral:rRNA from 1 species
UACAUGAGUAGUGAACGUUAAUCAUAGUGGUUGGGUGUAAAACAUGCUACGACCAGUACAAAAAACACAAUUUAUUUCUUUAAAAGUGGAUUAUGUAUGAGAAAUUUAACGAGUUAUUUACCCACUUGUAAUUUUUAAAGAUAAAAUUUAAUAAGAAAUUAUAAGUGACCUAUAGAUAAAAAUAGGAUAACAGUUUAAUUUGACGUUUAGGCAUGAAAGUAUAGGUUGUGAUAAGG